UGUUGCUAUUUAGGACCAAAACAUUUUCAGACAGUAGGUAGGCUUUUACAUUCCCUUGCUCCGUUACCUAACGACUUAAACCAGUUCCUUGCUUCCCCCAUCCCUACACAUUGUUCCUAAGUCUGAUUUUACCUCCCCAAUACCAGCCAGUAUCAGGUGUUCUUAUAGUCCUUGGCGCCUUUGCAUCUAAUUCAUUGGUUCUAGACGAACUAUUCUGUCAGUUUUUACCACCUAGUAGGCAAUACCUGUUUUGUCUAAUAUUCAAAGUGCAAUUCGCGUCUAGAUUAUCCACACAAUUUCACUAAUUGAAAAAUAUCAAAUUUACUAUUAUAAUGUAAGAGAGAAAUAUAGGUCAUAACUUCGGCACGACUUUAAGUACUAAGCAAUAAUGGAGUCGUCAGACGCCUCCGCUUACCGUGAACCAGUAUGAGCUUGGGAGAAAGGAACUGGAAGAACAUGAAAAAGCAGGGGCAUGUGUAGACAUUAGUGAAAAUUAACAAUGCACGUUAUUUGCAAAUGUCAGCAAUUAUCUGUACAUGGUAAGAACGAAAAAUACCUUCAUUGAAAUAAAGCUACAGCACAAGACAACUUACAGAUUGUGAAACAGCGAGAAUGAAGAGCUACAUUCUUGCAGACGAGCUGUAGGUCGUACACGAAUGUCUAAAGAGACAUUCAAAACUCGAAUAGGGUGCAGAGUAAUUUCUUACUGUGAGGAAUUGCCCAAUGUAUGGAAAGAUGCAUAGUUGGCUCUCACAUGCUAAAUGCCAGUAGCGCCCUCCUUCGCUUGAAGUCAUGACAACCACAGUCCCUACUAGACCUGUUCAUCUUUUUUUUUUUUUUUUUUUUUUUUUUUGGUGUUUUUGAGACAGGGUUUCUCUGCGUAGUCCUAGCUGUCCUGGAACUCACUUUGUAGACCAGGCUGGCCUCGAACUCAGAAAUCCGCCUGCCUCUGCCUCCCGAGUGCUGGGAUUAAAGGCGUGCGCCACCACGCCCGGCUCUGUUCAUCCUUUUAAAGGUAGAUCUUUUAUAACAUCCUUUGCCACCUUGAGAUGAUUUAUAGGUAAUAUAAUCUACAUUUGAGUUUAUUCAGACUUAAUUUAGUGCCCUACUUGUGUUAUAAUGGAAACUUAGAAGGUCAGAACUCUGUAAUGGACAUAAACUGUUAAGUACUCAGGCAUGACUACGCUAUCAGCUACGAAACAUGUUAACUCUCACUAGGAAUAGCUUUGGCUUAAGAGUCCAGCAGGGGCAACUUCCUGAGAUGAAUGAAGUACAGGAAAAUGAAAGAUUAGAGGGAUGUGUGACGGAAUACAGUAUUAGGGUUCACCAUAGCAGACUCUGCGCUUUAUCUGUCUAUGGUGAAGGAUAGGGCGCAAUCACUUUAAUUGUAAUGAUAGAUAAAUAAGACAGGACAAACUACAGUUUGUCUCAGAGGAAUCCAAGGAUUCUUUUUCAGACAAGUUGUAGGUCCCGCAUACAUGUCCACCAGGACAUUAGACAGUCGUAAAGAUGCAGAACGAACAGUUUGUGUGUGGGACUGACCCACCCACACACAGCAGGGCACUUGUUCUGCCUCAGGCUGCAUCUACUCAGUGCCGUUAAUAAACUUUAGAUACAAACCAACAACCACCAUUCUCCAGUAUACUACAGUGGGAAUCACUGAUCUAGUUAACGGCAGCACUCUUGGAUUAAUUCAAUUGUUAUUUCUACUCUUUAACAACAGAAUAAGCCAGAUCCUUGACUCUCAAGCCCCCAGUUUUUAAAAACAAGGUGUUCCUUGAUUUAUAAUCCUUCUUGUUUAUGCUGUGUUCUUUGAUUUAUAAUCCUUGUUUGCUCAAUAAAAAGAAAAAAUAAUU
rnacentral:lncRNA from 1 species